rnacentral:rRNA from 1 species
GACGAACGCUGGCGGCGUGCCUAAUACAUGCAAGUGGGACGCAAGGGAACACACUGUGCUUGCACACCGUGUUUUCUUGAGUCGCGAACGGGUGAGUAACGCGUAGGUAACCUGCCUAUUAGCGGGGGAUAACUAUUGGAAACGAUAGCUAAUACCGCAUAAUAUUAAUUAUUGCAUGAUAAUUGAUUGAAAGAUGCAAGCGCAUCACUAGUAGAUGGACCUGCGUUGUAUUAGCUAGUUGGUAAGGUAAGAGCUUACCAAGGCGACGAUACAUAGCCGACCUGAGAGGGUGAUCGGCCACACUGGGACUGAGACACGGCCCAGACUCCUACGGGAGGCAGCAGUAGGGAAUCUUCGGCAAUGGACGAAAGUCUGACCGAGCAACGCCGCGUGAGUGAAGAAGGUUUUCGGAUCGUAAAGCUCUGUUGUAAGUCAAGAACGUGUGUGAGAGUGGAAAGUUCACACAGGACGUAGCUACCAGAAAG